AAUGAACGCUGGCGGCAGGCCUAACACAUGCAAGUCGAGCGAGCGGAGGACGGGUGAGUAAAGUAUGGGGACUGAACGAUAGAGUGGGAUAACGACUGGAAAAGGUAGGUAAUACCGCAAACAAUCGGAUAAACCAUAUGGGAUGAGCUAGUAGGUGAGGGAAUGGCUCACCUAGGCGACGAUCACUAGCUGGUCUGAGAGGAUGAUCAGCCACACUGGUACUGGGACACGGCCCAGACUCCUACGGAGGCAGCAGUGGGGAAUAUUGCGCAAUGGGCGCAAGCCUGAUGCAGCCAUGCCGCGUGUAUGAAGAAGGCCCUAGGGUUGUAAAGUACUUUCAGUCGGGAGGCGUUACCGACAGAAGAAGCACCGGCUAACUCCGUGCCAGCAGCCGCGGUAAUAC
rnacentral:rRNA from 1 species